UUCAUUGCCUGGGAGUUGUUGACCUACUGCUGUAUCAGUGAGAGGAGGACUUUAAUGACAGAGGGUGGUUCCUGCAGCACUGCUUUCUGUGUCUGCCUCCAUUCUAUAUAUGGCUUCUUUCAACUGAACUUCAAAUUCAAUCAGCAUGAUAAACUCUUGGAUUUCAUUGUUUUGUUUUUAACCAGGUUCAGCCAAGGCAACACACACUGUAUUCUUUUUCCACUUCAUAGAUCCUGAAAUUGUUGCUUUUCACUGUGCUGUAAAGACCAGGUAGGUCCCUACAUUCUUUUUGCCCAGCAGGGGUGAUUAAUUAUUGUUGUUCGCUGUCAUUUUGGAUGUCAAACUUGGGUCACUGGGUUAAAGUAAUCUGAAGUCACGUUGUUGUGACUGAAAAAAAAAAAAAAAAAAAACAAUAUUUGAUCUUUGGACCCUAGUAUCCAGUUCGGGGACGCUAUAGAAGGGGGUGCAGCACACGCCCUGGGGGGGCAGAGAGUAGUGACGUCACACGCCAACCUUUAAGACGUCAGUCGGAAGAAUGAAGCCGUGGAGUUGUUGCCAGUGGGAGCUGUGCCAUUUGGAUUUAUAACUUUGUUGCCCAUUUUGGUCCACUGGAUCAAUCUGCCAAAGAGCUGCUGGGCUGGUGAGGAGACACAUCAGGGACCAGAGGACUGUGGAUUAUUUGGGAUUAUGCACUAGGAAAAUACAAUCCAUCAUGGCAGAGCUUGGAAAGGAUUUUUGAUGUCUGGCAUCAUCCUUCUGUUCUUGAGUCUGUUUGUCUACAUAUUUUAUUAUAUCGACUUUCUGGAGUUUCAGAAAACACCGCGCCUCCAUUCAAGAACAUAAGUGUCUCCAGUGAUCCAGGCUCGAAUCAGAACUCCUGCACCUUCCGAUGGUUGUCUCCCCAAAGAGAUCCAAGAGGAAAACAUCCUUUUAGAUUCCAUAGCUUGGCCAAAUACUCCAUCUGUGUCAACUUCUGUUUCCCUGGAAGGCACCAGCAAUGCAGCCCGCAGCAAAUGUGUCAUUCUCCCAAGGCCAGGAGGUGGAUCGUGGCUCGUGGGGGAUCAGCUGGAGGUCAUGAUCAAGAUGUUUGACUUUAAGGGUCAUCCAAAGAAUCAUGGAGGAGAUUUCUUCCUGGCUCGGCUGCACAACCAGGCUCUUCAUGCAGGUGUGGCAGGUCAAGUGGUGGAUCAUCUCAAUGGGACCUACUCUGCUGUGUUCUUCUUACCCUGGGAAGGAAAGUCAGACCACACCAAUGCAAUGUCUUACUUAGUAAGUAUACGUCAAUAAAGAAGAAAAAUAUAAUAAUUAUAAUGAUAAUAAUAUUAAUAAUAAUAAUGGUAGUCAUGGUAUUAAUAACAGUAAUAGAUAUGCUUGUGUAUUUAUAUCUUCAUGUAUGUAAGUAUAUAUAGCAGUGAAGGGAAAA